GUGCAACUCUCCCUUCAUAUUAAGCAUUAACCAACGCAACAACUCUAAGAGGUCCGGUAGUAUUCUGUUUCAAGGCUAAAUUUCUGACCGUCUUUGAUACCCUCAUUUUCAAACUUGCAGUCAAAAUUUCCCUAAUUUUAACCCUGUAGAUUCCAUAUAACAUACCUAUUUAUCGUACUGAUUGUUAACAUGUUCUUGUCCCGAC
rnacentral:lncRNA from 1 species